GCGGCAGACGGGUGCGUAACAUGUGGGAAUCUGCCUUUUGGUUCGGAACAACACGGGGAAACCGAUGCUAAUACCGGAUAAGUCUUUACGGAGAAAGCUUUAUGCACCAUUGGAUGAGCCCGCACUUGAUUAGCUAGUUGGUAAGGUAAUGGCUUACCAAGGCAACGAUCAAUAGCUGUUCUUAGAGGAAGUCCAGCCACAUUGGGACUGAGACACGGCCCAAACUCC
rnacentral:rRNA from 1 species